AUACUUACCUGGCAGGGAGAUAUCAUGAUCAUGAAGGUGAGUCUGUUCAGGCGAGGCCCAGCCACUGAGACUUCGGUUAGGGCGAUCUAGUGGCGACUCCCCAAAUGUGGGAAUCUCACUGUAUAAUUUGUGGUAGUGUAGACUGCGCCCUCGCGCUCUCCU